rnacentral:lncRNA from 1 species
GAAAACAUUCAUGACGAAAGUUUUAUCCUAUUUCCACCUAUUCAAAAGGAGGUCUCUGAAGAUACAUGGGUUCCUAAAGCUUCCCUUUUUGACAUAAAUAUCAGCAAGAUUCGAGGACGAAUCAUUUCUAAAGAAGGCGAGAAUGAUACGGAUCUAAUAGGGCAAAUUUCGAACAAUGAUGUGGAGCAAACUUAUGCCAUUCAAAUGGAUCUAAAAGGAGUUCAAAAUCAUAUUCAUAUGAUCCAUAUAUAUUUGGGACGUGCUUUAACUUAUAUGGGACAAAUUUGGUGCAACAUUUGCAAUCAUAGGCUUAGGGAGC